rnacentral:misc_RNA from 1 species
AAGACUAUAGACCUGCGGAGUACCUGCGGAAGGAUCAUUAUUGAAUAUGCUUGAUAGGUUGUCGCUGGCUUCAUGAAGCAUGUGCACGCCUGUCUUGACUUCAUUCAUCCACCUGUGCACUUAUUGUAGUCUCUCUUUUCUGGGUCAUGAAAAUUGACUGUGGAAGGAGUAUAAGAGACUAUGUCUUUUAUCACAAACCAUGUAGUAUGUUGUCAGAAUGUAUUCAAGGGCUUUAAUGCC